UGUUUUAAUAAAAACCCACUGUGUGGAGGGUUCUUUUUUUUUUAUUGUAAAUUUACUGCAAACUAUUCAACUGAGACUAUUUCUUCCCCGCCCGGUAUGUGACUGCCACUGGAUGUGACUGCUCCGGCAUGUGACUGCUCCUGCAGGUAGUGGCUGUUUAACUAGAGAAGCAGAACCAGUGCCAACAGGCACCCAGUGCACAGAAAAUAUAAGUGCCGCAUUUAUAGACAGGCGCAGCUUUGUAGAACAUGGGAGAUUGGCAGCCUGCGUGAAGAACAGCCAUCUGGUUCUUCACUUAGAAUGGGGAUUUGAGCCACAUAAACAUCCAGAACCAUGAAACACCAGUGGCCUGCAUUGCCAGCUGUAAAGCUAUAGCUUGGGAGCCUCAAAUGGGCCAGUCAUUUAUAGCCCCAACAUGAGCCUCUUCAACAUGCACAUUCACACACAUGUUUACCUUGUGCUCAUCUACGAUACUGAGAACACUGCACACACUGAAACAGGUUGGAAAAAGUAAACAAGAACUCAAGUGUUACAGCUGGCAAGAAACUCCGAAGGGAAAAUUAACAUAUGCCACCACAGGGGACUGGCACUGCUGAACACUCGUUUCCUCUCAGAGAUGAGCUGCACAGAGAGAGAAAAAAAACUUAAGAUGAAUCAAAUUACUUGUACAGCUAAGUGUAUGUCCUACCUGAGAUUCAAAGCCAGGCAAUCUUUAACCUCCUAACCAUCUUUGUAGAGCAGACCAUGUCAAACAUCACAUCUUCCUUCCCUGACUCCCUACCUCUAUGUGAAGACCAAGAAUGCCUGAGGAGAGAUGGGAUGUAACUUAGUGGGUCUCACUUCCUGCUCUCUGCUGUAUACACCGAUCUGAUUCACUAGUCUGAAAGCCUCUAGGGCUUCUCUUGGCCCCACCCACCUCCUCGAGAAGCCUCAAGGACACAGCUGACUGCACCUGAACCCAGGUUGUCAGGCUUAUACAGCAAUGCUAUCGCCCCAGCCCCGAACCUGCAAACUUUCAUGUAACAAAGAAACAUCAAUGGAGUUAAAAAAAAAAAAAAAAAGCAACUGAAUGAGUAUUUGCAAGCCACGCCUAUAAGGGACAAUACCCAGAAUAUAUAAUGAAGAUCUCUACAAUUCAGCAACAAAAAUAUAAUGUAAUUAAAUGUUGGGCAAAAGUCUUGAAUGGACAUUUCUCCAAAGAAGAUAUUAAAACUGCCAACAAGCAUAUGGAAGGAUGUGAAACACCACAGCUAUGGUCUGAUAUGGGCUUUAUUGGGCUAGCGCUGUGAUUCCCAGAGUAAUGCCACUGAAAAAACGGCAUUUUUGGUUU